CCGGUCGGGACGACGACGACGUGCCAACUGCCAAGCACAACAGUCGGCGCGCGUACGCGUACCACGCGGCAAUUGGUAACUGUCGCGCGGCGGCGUAUACCUUCGACGUCGACCGUCGGUGACGCGUGCGGUAGUGACCGAGGUUUGUAUACCGCGCACGGCCCGAUGGACGCGUUCGUUUUGCAGUCGUGUUGUACACUACACUACAACUACAGUAUUACGAUUUAGGUACCGGUGGCGGUAACCAAGAUUUACAAAUUUUAUUACCUAUAACGGAAAAAAAUAAUGAAUACAACAAAAUAACAUGCUAUACGAAAAUCAUUAAAAAAUAUCAUUUACAUCGUAAAUCAAUAUAUAAUCUACAAAUUAUGUAGCUUUAAAAUUAUAAUAAUUUGGUAGUUUAUUUAUAUAACAUAAAUGGCCCAUCAUUAAAAAUUUGAAUCUGAUCUUAUAAUGACCCAAUCAAGAAACCGUGCCACAUCUUCUCAACAGGUAUGAAUAAAGGUACUUCAGAUGAUGUAUAAUACUUAUUAUAUGCUUUACUUUAAAAUAUGGCGAAUAGAGUCAAUUUUACACGGGGAUUUUUCAUAAUACCAUAGAGAUUUUUUUAAAUUAGUACUCUUAGUUUUUAUGAAAGUUAUGCAUGUCUCCGGAUAAUGAUACAAUUUUAUUUAAUGACUAGCUAUUAAUAUUUUAUUAUUUUUUUUACGGUCUUCAAAAUAAAUGCAUUCAACAGCUAAAAAAUAUUACGCAUGUAAAAGAACAUUUUAAUUUUACUAA